GCAGCAGCCGCGGGAAUACCGAGGGUGCGAGCGUUAAUCGGAUUUACUGGGCGUAAAGCGUGCGUAGGCGGCUUCUUAAGUCGGAUGUGAAAUCCCUGAGCUUAACUUAGGAAUUGCAUUCGAUACUGGGAAGCUAGAGUAUGGGAGAGGAUGGUAGAAUUCCAGGUGUAGCGGUGAAAUGCGUAGAGAUCUGGAGGAAUACCGAUGGCGAAGGCAGCCAUCUGGCCUAAUACUGACGCUGAGGUACGAAAGCAUGGGGAGCAAACAGGAUUAGAUACCCGUGUAGUCCCUGUCUCUUAUAC
rnacentral:rRNA from 1 species